CGGCGGACGGGUGAGUAAUGUCUGGGAAACUGCCUGAUGGAGGGGGAUAACUACUGGAAACGGUAGCUAAUACCGCAUAACGUCGCAAGACCAAAGAGGGGGACCUUCGGGCCUCUUGCCAUCGGAUGUGCCCAGAUGGGAUUAGCUAGUAGGUGGGGUAACGGCUCACCUAGGCGACGACCCCUAGCUGGUCUGAGAGGAUGGCCAGCCACACUGGAACUGAGACACGGUCCAG
rnacentral:rRNA from 1 species